CCUACGGGGUGCAGCAGUGAGGAAUAUUGGUCAAUGGGCGGGAGCCUGAACCAGCCAAGUCGCGUGAGGGAAGACGGUCCUAUGGAUUGUAAACCUCUUUAGGCGGGGAGCAAAAGACGCCACGCGUGGCGUUCCGAGAGUACCCGAAGAAAAAGCAUCGGCUAACUCCGGGCCAGCAGCCGCGGUACUACGGAGGAUGCGAGCGUUAGCCGGAUUUGUUGGGUUUAACGGGAGCGCAGUGGGAAGAUCAAGUUAGCGGUAAAAUUGAGAGGCUCAACCUCUUCGAGCCGUUGAAACUGGUUUUCUUGAGUGAGCGAGAAGGAUGCGGAAUGCGUGGUGUAGCGGUGAAAUGCAUAGAUAUCACGCAGAACUCCGAUUGCGAAGGCAGCAUACCGGCGCUCAACUGACGCUCAUGCACGAAAGUGUGGGUAUCGAACAGGAUUAGAUACCCUUGUAGUC
rnacentral:rRNA from 1 species